UGCAAGUUGCACGAGAGUUUUUAACUCUAGUAGCGGACGGGUGAGUAACACGUGAGAAUCUGCCCUUAGGAAGAGGAUAACAGCUGGAAACGGUUGCUAAUACUCUAUAUGCUGAAAAGUGAAAGAAUGUAUUUGCCUAAGGAGGAGCUCGCGUCUGAUUAGCUAGUUGGUAAGGUAAAGGCUUACCAAGGCGACGAUCAGUAGCUGGUUUGAGAGGACGAUCAGCCACACUGGGACUGAGACACGGCCCAGACUCCUACGGGAGGCAGCAGUGGGGAAUUUUCCGCAAUGGGCGAAAGCCUGACGGAGCAAUACCGCGUGAGGGAUGAAAGCCUUUGGGUUGUAAACCUCUUUUCUCAAGGAAGAAGUUCUGACGGUACUUGAGGAAUAAGCAUCGGCUAACUCUGUGCCAGCAGCGGCGGUAAUACAGAGGAUGCAAGCGUUAUCCGGAAUCACUGGGCAUAAAGCGUCUGUAGGUUGUUUAGUAAGUCUGCUGUUAAAUACUAGGGCUUAACCCUAGGCCAGCAGUGGAAACUGCUAGACUUGAGUGUGGUAGAGGUAGAGGGAAUUCCUGGUGUAGCGGUGAAAUGCGUAGAUAUUAGGAAGAACACCAAUGGCGAAAGCACUCUACUGGGCCAUAACUGACACUAAGAGACGACAGCUAGGGGAGCAAAUGGGAUUAGAUACCCCAGUAGUCCUA
rnacentral:rRNA from 1 species